rnacentral:rRNA from 1 species
GACGAACGCUGGCGGCGUGCUUAACACAUGCAAGUCGAACGGAGUGGCGAACGGGUGAGUAACACGUGGGUGAUCUGCCUUGCACUUCGGGAUAAGCUUGGGAAACUUGGUCUAAUACCGGAUAGUGCAAGAUGAGGUUGCGGCCUAUCAGCUUGUUGGUGGGGUAAUGGCCUACCAAGGCGUCGACGGGUAGCCGGCCUGAGCGGGUGGACGGCCACAUAGGGACUUGGAUACUGCCCAGACUCGUACGGGAGGCAGUAGUGGAGAAUAUUGCACAAUGGGCGGAAGCCUGAUGCAGCGACGCCGCGGGGGGGAUGAAGGCAUUCGGGUUGUAAACUCCUUUCGACAGGGAAGCGGUACCUGUAUAAGAAGCACCGGCUAACUACGUGCCAGCAGCCGCGGUAAUAC